rnacentral:tRNA from 1 species
GGGCGAUUAGCUCAGCGGGAGAGCACUCCCUUCACACGGGAGGGGUCGGCAGUUCAAUCCUGCCAUCGCCCACCA